CAAUAGCGUAUAUUAAAGUUGUUGCAGUUAAAAAGCUCGUAGUUGGAUUUCUGGUUGAAGCGACCGGUCGGGCGUUGAUUCGUCUGCACUGGAGUCGGUUUUGGCCAUCCUCUAGGAAAGUGCGUCUGGUAUUAAGUUAUCGGGCGUAUGAUCCUGGUCUUUUACUGUGAAAAAAUUAGAGUGUUUAAAGCAGGCCUUCGCCUUGAAUACAUUAGCAUGGAAUAAUAAGAUAGGACUUUGGUCUAUUUUGUUGGUUUGCAGACCGAGGUAAUGAUUAAUAGGGAUAGUUGGGGGUAUUUAUAUUCCGAUGUCAGAGGUGAAAUUCUUAGAUUUUCGGAAGAUAAACUUAUGCGAAAGCAUUUACCAAGGAUGUUUUCAUUAA
rnacentral:rRNA from 1 species